rnacentral:rRNA from 1 species
UACCUGGCUCAGGAUGAACGCUAGCGGCAGGCCUAACACAUGCAAGUCGAGGGGCAGCGCAAUGACAGUUUACUGUUAUGGCGGCGACCGGCGCACCGGGUGAGUAACGCGUAUGCAACCUACCCUGUUCUCGGGGGAUAGCCCGGAGAAAUCCGGAUUAACACCCCAUGGUAAUGAAUCAUCGCAUGAUGGAUUAUUUAAAGGUUACGGAACAGGAUGGGCAUGCGUCCCAUUAGCUAGAUGGUAAGGUAACGGCUUACCAUGGCGACGAUGGGUACGGGGGGUCUGAGAGGAUGGUCCCCCACACUGGUACUGAGACACGGACCAGACUCCUACGGGAGGCAGCAGUGAGGAAUAUUGGUCAAUGGGCGCAAGCCUGAACCAGCCAUGCCGCGUGCAGGAAGAAUGCCCUAUGGGUUGUAAACUGCUUUUAUCAGGGAAUAAACCUCUUUACGUGUAAGGAGCUGAAGGUACCUGAUGAAUAAGCACCGGCUAACUCCGUG